AUAGUGCGGGUAGGUAGUUUGUAGGGGUGUAAUCCUAAAAGAUUUGUUAUAUGUUGUUACGUGCUAAAGGAUGAAGCCAUGUAGUCUGUAGAGUUGGACCGGGAUUAGAGACCCCGCUACAUCAGGGGUUAAGUAAAAUUAGUUUAUUAUUUGCUAGGCGACUACGUUCGGAUGAAUAAAAGUCGAAGUACUUGGCGGCUUAAAAUAUCUCAGCCCGUGAGACUUGACGGUUAAUUUGAUGAUCCGCGUUGUAUUGUACUUGUCUUUGAAAGUGUUUAAUUCAGUUGGUGUAUGGCCGUUGUCAGCCUAUGUUUUGAGGUUUUUAGUUAUAGGCACAAUUCAAUUUAAUAGUUUAUUUUGGGUGAAGGCAGGUCGUUAUGCUGCCUAUAGGCAAGGCUUAGUUGAGUCGCAUUAAUUAGAUUGAACGGAUUCCUAGAUGAAAAGCUGGGUUGAAGAAGGAAUGGGUAGUAAUACGGAAGAAGUGUGUCUGUAUGAAUGGAAAAUUUUUAAGUGUACAAAUCGCCCGUCGCCCCCGGGGAUUUAUACUCGGGGU
rnacentral:rRNA from 1 species